rnacentral:rRNA from 1 species
AUGGGAACGCGAAGAACCUUACCUACUCUUGACAUCCAGAGAACUUAGCAGAGAUGCUUUGGUGCCUUCGGGAACUCUGAGACAGGUGCUGCAUGGCUGUCGUCAGCUCGUGUUGUGAAAUGUUGGGUUAAGUCCCGCAACGAGCGCAACCCUUAUCCUUUGUUGCCAGCGGUCCGGCCGGGAACUCAAAGGAGACUGCCAGUGAUAAACUGGAGGAAGGUGGGGAUGACGUCAAGUCAUCAUGGCCCUUACGAGUAGGGCUACACACGUGCUACAAUGGCGCAUACAAAGAGAAGCGACCUCGCGAGAGCAAGCGGACCUCAUAAAGUAUGUCGUAGUCCGGAUUGGAGUCUGCAACUCGACACCAUGAAGUCGGAAUCGCUAGUAAUCGUAGAUCAGAAUGCUACGGUGAAUACGUUCCCGGGUCUUGUACACACCG